rnacentral:pre_miRNA from 1 species
UGCACGUGCACGAUUACUAGUUAACUAUAAUGUUUGACUCUACGUCUUAUUUAAAAUAAAUUUAUGAUUAACAUUUUUGUUUUUAUUAGAUGAUAGAUCAUGAAUAGUACUUUGCGUGUGACUAAUUUUUUUAUUUUUUUUAAAAAAAUUUAAAUAAGAUGGAUGGUCAAACGCUGUACACGGAAAUCGAAAGAUUGGUUUGUU